rnacentral:rRNA from 1 species
UGAAUGGCUUGACGAGAAAUCAACUGUCUCUUAAUAAUUUUUAAAAUUUAACUUUUGAGUCAAAAGGCUUAAAUUUUUCUUUAGGACGAGAAGACCCUAUAGAGCUUAACAUUUUAUUUUUAUAUAGUUUUUAGUUGAUCUUUCUAUAUUUAAUGAUAAUGUUUUGUUGGGGUGACAUGAAGAAUAAUUAAACUCUUCAUUAUAAAAUCAUUGAUUUAUGUUUAUCAUGAUCCAUAAUUUAUGAUCAUAAGAUUAAGUUACCUUAGGGAUAACAGCGUAAUUGUUUUCGAGAGCUCAUAUCGACAAAGCAGAUUGCGACCUC